GACGAACGCUGGCGGCGUGCUUAACACAUGCAAGUCGAACGGUAAGGCCUUCGGGUACACGAGUGGCGAGCGGGUGAGUAACACGUGGGUGAUCUGCCCUGCACUUCGGGAUAAGCCUGGGAAACUGGGUCUAAUACCGGAUAGGACUCCGGACUGCAUGGUCUGGGGUGGAAAGCUUUUGCGGUGUGGGAUGGGCCCGCGGCCUAUCAGCUUGUUGGUGGGGUGAUGGCCUACCAAGGCGACGACGGGUAGCCGGCCUGAGAGGGUGACCGGCCACACUGGGACUGAGAUACGGCCCAGACUCCUACGGGAGGCAGCAGUGGGGAAUAUUGCACAAUGGGCGCAAGCCUGAUGCAGCGACGCCGCGUGAGGGAUGACGGCCUUCGGGUUGUAAACCUCUUUCAGCAUCGACGAAGCGAAAGUGACGGUAGGCGCAGAAGAAGGACCGGCCAACUACGUGCCAGCCGCCGCCGUAA
rnacentral:rRNA from 1 species